AGAAUAGACUGGAAGCUGCCAUUCGAUUUCUUCUUUCCCUUCAAAGCGGCGUUGAGCAGAGGGGCCAGUGUGCAGAAAGACUCUCUCGUUCUCAUCCUGUGUGUCUUACUACUUGGACUUCUCAACUCACAGACCAAGUGAAGAAAGAAAAGAAUCCGGUUUCAUUUUUCCCUAUGGGAAACAAAGACAGCCUACUUAUCUUGGCUAAAUAGGUCCUCAUGAUUACUCAUGAUUAUAGGAGGGAAUUUAGGGAAACAGGACCUAACGAAAAGGAAUUUUUUUCUUUCCAUUUUCUCACUAUGUCGUCUUGGUUGGCCUAGAACUCCCAAUGUAGACCAGGCUGGUCUCAGGCGCACAGAGAUUUUCCCCUUUGCCUCUGCCUCCAGAGUGCUGGAUUAAAGGCACGUGCUAUCACGCCCAGCCAGGAAUCUUUAUGAACUGAAGAUGGUACGCUAGAAAAGUGACUACAAGUAUUCCAUCUUCAUAGCUCUCCUCUUGGGGGGCUCCUCGGACCUCCAGAUACACACUGGGUUCUCUGCGUCUAAAGCUGGGCAGGCCAAGAGCCCCCAUCUCUUCAGGUUGUGUUUGCCAGGAUCUCAUAGGCGCAUGCUCCUGCAUCAUCCAGAGUGAACUCAGAGAGGCUGGCCCCUGCAUUAGUGCUGACAAUUCAAGCCGGGAAACUGCUGGCUCUGUGUUUUGUCUGGCUCUUUUGCCAAAGUUAUAGCCACACCCUUUACCCAGACCUGAGUUAGAAAAGUAGUUCUUUCUACUCGUUUCCCAAAGUGAAUGGCGUCCUAUGUCCUUUUCUCACUAGCAAAUGACUCCACCAGUCCUUUCUGUCCUCCCCUACUUUGUGGUGUGGUGUAAUAGAAGUGACUGAGAGCUCUCUUCUGUUAUGUCCAGUAGCGUGGCAGAAGUUGACACCUCAUGAUAGACACCCUGAGGAUUUUUAUGUAUAUGAGGUUUAAAGGGGAACUGGGACUCUCAUAAACUGUAUUUGAAUCAGGUGACUUGACUUUUUUUCUUGGGGAAUUCUCUCCUUUAGUCCAAGUUUAUGCCCGUGACUUCUAUAUGAAGUCUGUUUCUUUAAGGAUAAGGCUUUGGUAGCUCACGCAGAGUCCUAACUGCCUGGCCCGUCCGCAGAAGUAGCAUGCAUAGAGACAGACUUCUUGAGCUCAUUUCCUCUUCUUGGAUGGAGACAAACUAGUUGAGAAUUAUAGUAGAACACUUAAUUAAAAGGUCAUGCUGUCCUUUUAAUUAAGGCAAGGUUUUGAUGGAAGAAAUGACAUUGUCUAAUUAUUUUAAACAUUAAGCCUUGGGAUGAGACAGUAAAUAUAAAGAGUUAAGAUGCCAACGAAUGACUCGUGAAGCCGUGUGAAACGUGCAGUUCUAAGGCACCACCCCCUCUGAGCCAGUCAGUCAGUGUGGCCCACAUUCUUGGCGGGUGAGCUUCAUUGGCACAGACAUAAAAAUCUGCUGGCCUAGGAAAGUGAAUGGGAGGGGGAAGGACCUGAGAACCUAGGACAACCUGAGGGGAAGCGCAGGCAUUUCUGUGGACUAAAGUGAUCACAGGAAAAUUACGGAAUGGACCAAGCAGCGAUGGAAAUUUGCUUUGUGGGAAUUUGAAAGCCAGGCAGAGAGGGUUGGAGGUUACUAAUACUCUGAAACCCAAAUUGGUUUUUUGUUUGUUUGUUUUGUUUUGUUUUUUUGAGACAGUUUUCUUUGGAUAGCCCUGGCUGUCCUGGAAGCUGAUCUGUAGACCAGGCUAACCUUGAACUCAUGGAGAUCUGCUUGCCUCUACCUCCCGAGUACUGGGAUUAAAAGCAUGUGCUGCCAUACUAAGCUCCCAAAUUGUCUUUUAAUGAAAGAGUCACAGUCCUGCCCCAGGAGCAGAAGGAAAUGCUGACGAUAUAUUCCAUCUUCAACUGCUUAUCAUUUUGUUCCAUUCCAGAGUCCCUAGCAAGUAGCCAGUUUCUCUGAAAAGGGCAAAGUUCUUGCAUCAGCUACUACCAAGCCAGAAGCGCUCCUGCACAAGGCAGUCAGGAGCGUGGGAAGUUGGCAGCACAGUUCUCAGCAGAGUCUAUUACACAGAUGUUAUCUAGCUGAGCAGCCUUGGCUCCCAGGCCCAGUCACUCAGACCACUAAGUAUUAGGAGACAUAGGGCCUUCAAAUUUGGUCUUAGUGGUUAAUAACCCUAUGUGACAAUAUAUCCUAAGUUGCAGGCUAGCUGACACCCAACCCACUUGGAGUCAACUACAAGUUCUUUCCAGAGUCUGUCCCUCUCCUUCUGUCCUCCUUUGUGCAGUCGCUUACUCCCACUGAGGCUGGGAAACUAUUCUGUCUUUAAAUUUUCUGUCUAAAAUGCAGCCUUCUAAAAUCUUCUUUCAGAUGUAUUUAGUUUGCAUGUUUGAGUUGUUUUGUUUUGUUUUGUUUUUGCUUACAUGUACAUCUCUGUACCAUAUGCAUACCUAAGUGUGAUGGUUGUGAACCACUAUUGGGAGCUGGGAAUUGAACCUGGGCCCUCUAUAUGAAGAAGUACUUUUAACUGCACCUACAAUUAGACAAUCUUUUAAAGUGCACACAGUUCAGCACUGGGGAAAUGGUUUUAUUGGUAAAGUGUUUGCCAUGCAAGUACAGGGACAGGUAUCUAGAGUCCUAGGAUUCAAAAAAAAUUUAUAUACAUCUCCUGAUGUACAUGGCAGCUUGCCUAAAAUUCCUGUGAGAGGCAGAGACAAGGAUUCCCUGGAAUAAUCAGGCUAGCCCUACUAGUCAAAACAGAGCUCCAGACUCCAUUGAGAGACUCUGGCUCAGUGAAUGAGGUGAGUGGUUGAGGAGACAUAGGGUUAGCCUCAGGCAUAUACACACAUGUGCCCUCUACAUACACAUACACUGAAUACAUAAACCAAAAAUGGAUAAUGCACAAAUCAGUGUAGUAGCAGCAAUUACCACCGACUCCAGAGAAGAGCUACCUGUGAGCAGCCUCUUCCCUCUCCUCCUGGUUGUCCUUGGUAAUCACCAAUCUCUUUUUGUUCCUCUGUAGAUGGCCUAUUCUGGAUGUUCAUUGUGUUACCUUUUGUGUCUGGCAUCUUUUCACUUUGUGUGUUUUCGGAGUUCGUCUGAUUUGUAAUCUGUAUCAACACGUUGCUCCUUUAUGGCUAAACAGUCCGUUCAAGGAUCUACCACGUCUGGUCCAUUUGUUAGACGAUGACAUUUAGGUUACUCUCAACUGCAGUGUGGACAUUGAUUUUUCAUUUUUCUUAGGUACAUACAUUGAGUGAAGUUGCCAGGUCACAUGGUGAUUCUGUUUAACACACGGACCUUCCAUUGACUCUUUCCUCCUUGAGACAGAACGUCAUAGUGAUCUCCUGCUUACUGGAAAGCUCAGGACACAUUAGGCUCCAUCCUGAAUCUUCUCUGUACGCAAACCAAUGCAGCCCUUAGUAUGACUGUUACAUGGGGAAGACGUUUUACAGACAUUCAGUUUAAGGAACAAGCUGUACGUCUCUUGCGAGGCUAUGCAGGCGCCUAGCAAAAACAGAAAUGGAUGCUCACAGUCAGCUAUUGGAUGGAUCACAGGGCCCCCAAUGGAGGAGCUAGAGAAAGUACCCAAGGAGCUAAAGGGGUCUGCAACCGUAUAGGUGGAACAACAAUAUGAACCAACCAGUACCCCGGAGCUCUUGACUCAAGCUGCAUAUGUAUCAGAAGAUGGCCUAGUUGGCCAUCACAGGGAAGAGAGGACACUUGGUCUUGCAAACUUAGAUCAAAGUAAGCCUGGUGCUAGGUGCCCCAGUACAGGGGAACGCCAGGGCCAAGAAGUGGGAGUGGGUGGGUAGGGGAGCAGGGCAGAGGGAGGGUAUAGGGGACUUUUGGGACUUUUAGCAUUUGAAAUGUAAAUGAAAAUAUCU
rnacentral:lncRNA from 1 species